GUAGGGAAUUUUGCGCAAUGGGCGAAAGCCUGACGCAGCGACGCCGCGUGAGUGAAGAAGGCCUUCGGGUUGUAAAGCUCUGUCAGACGGGACGAAUAAGUGGAGUCAAAUAGGCUGCCAUGAUGACGGUACCGUCAGAGGAAGCACCGGCCAACUCUGUGCCAGCAGCCGCGGUAAUACAGAGGGUGCAAGCGUUAUUCGGAAUCACUGGGCGUAAAGCGCAUGUAGGUGGAUUGCUAAGUCAGUUGUGAAAUCCCGGGGCUUAACUCCGGAAUGGCAAUUGAAACUAGCAGUCUUGAGAUUGGGAGAGGGAGAUAGAAUUCCAGGUGUAGAGGUGAAAUUCGUAGAUAUCUGGAGGAAUACCGGCGGCGAAGGCGGUUUCCUGGCCCAAGACUGACACUGAGAUGCGAGAGCGUGGGUAGCAAACAGGAUUAGAUACCCCAGUAGUCC
rnacentral:rRNA from 1 species